GGCAUAGCGGUAUCCUGAGUAACGCGGGACACGAGGAAUCCUGCGCGAAUCUGCCGGGACCAUCCGGUAAGGCUAAAUACUCCCGUGAGACCGAUAGCGAACGAGUACUGUGAAGGAAAGGUGAAAAGAACCCCGAGCAGGGGAGUGAAAUAGUUCCUGAAACCAUACGCCUACAAGCGGUCGGAGCAUCGUAAGAUGUGACGGCGUGCCUUUUGCAUAAUGAUCCUACGAGUUACCGUCACUGGCGAGGUUGAGUGUCAUGAGACACGUAGCCGCAGUGAAAGCGAGCCUGAAUAGGGCGCACAGUCAGUGGGGGUAGACGCGAAACCAAGUGAUCUACACUUGGCCAGGAUGAAGUCCCGGUAACACGGGAUGGAGGUCCGCACCAAUAAGCGUUGAAAAGCUUCUGGAUGAGCCGAGUGUAGGAGUGAAAGGCCAAUCAAACUUGGAGAUAGCUCGUACUCCCCGAAAGGCAUUUAGGUGCCGCGUCGGAUGGUCACCGUGAGAGGUAGAGCGACCGAUAGGACAAGAGGGCUUCACCGCCUAUCGAGUCCUGACGAACUCCGAAUGCUCACGGUCUGCAGUCCGGCAGUAAGGGGGCGGGUGCUAAGGUCCGUCCCCGAGAGGAGAAGAAUCCAGACCGCCGUCUAAGGUCCCGGAGUUCUGCCUGAGUUAGUCUAACGAAGUCUGGUCCCUAUGACAGCUAGGAUGUUGGCUUGGAAGCAGCCAUUCAUUCAAAGAGUGCGUAACAGCUCACUAGUCGAGGGUCCGGGCAUGGAUAAUAAUCGGGUAUAAGGCAGACACCGAAGGCGCGGGAUAGCAAUUUUAAAAGUAUCGGUAGGGGAGCAUACUCACAGCGUUGAAUGGUGUACGUAAGUUAUCCUGGAGCGGUGAGUAAAGCAAAUGUAGGAAUAAGUAACGAUAAGGAGGGUUAGAUUCCCUCCCGCUGUAAGACCAAGGUUUCCCGGGCAAUGCCAAUCAGCCCGGGGUCAGUCGGGUCCUAAGUCUAAGCCGAACGGCGAUGGCGAUGGCAGAGACGGUUAAUAUUCCGUCACUGCCGCAUGGGGCGACGUGGAGACGGAGCAGUGAAACCACCGCGGGGCGACGGAAGUCCCCGUUGAAGAGUGUAGGUGUUGAGGAUGGCAGGCAAAUCCACCGUCCGAGCUGAACUUGAUAGUAUGGAGUCUUCUUCGGAAGAAUCCAAUAGUGUGGGUAAUCAUACUCCCGAGAAAAUCCGCUAAGCUUAACCCAUGCGGCACCCGUACCGCAAACGGACACACGUGGUCGGGUAGAACAUACUAAGGCGUUGAGAGAUUCAUGGUUAAGGAACUAGGCAAAUUGACCCUGUAACUUCGGGAUAAAGGGUCCUCGUGAUGAGCGAGGCGCAGAGAAUAGGUCCAGGCAACUGUUUAACAAAAACACAGGGCUGUGCAAACUCGAAAGAUGACGUAUACAGCCUGACACCUGCCCGGUGCCGGAAGGUUAAGAGGAGAUGUCACUCGCAAGAGGAAGCAUUGAAUUGAAGCCCCGGUAAACGGCGGCCGUAACUAUAACGGUCCUAAGGUAGCGAAAUUCCUUGUCGGGUAAGUUC
rnacentral:rRNA from 1 species